GAGUUUGAUCUUGGCUCAGGACGAACGCUGGCGGCGUGCUUAACACAUGCAAGUCGAGCGGUAAGGCCUUUCGGGUACACGAGCGGCGAACGGGUGAGUAACACGUGGGUGAUCUGCCCUGCACUUCGGGAUAAGCCUGGGAAACUGGGUCUAAUACCGGAUAUGACCUCCUAUCGCAUGGUGGGUGGUGGAAAGAUUUAUCGGUGCAGGAUGGGCCCGCGGCCUAUCAGCUUGUUGGUGGGGUAAUGGCCUACCAAGGCGACGACGGGUAGCCGACCUGAGAGGGUGACCGGCCACACUGGGACUGAGACACGGCCCAGACUCCUACGGGAGGCAGCAGUGGGGAAUAUUGCACGAUGGGCGAAAGCCUGAUGCAGCGACGCCGCGUGAGGGAUGACGGCCUCGGUU
rnacentral:rRNA from 1 species